rnacentral:rRNA from 1 species
AUUGAACGCUGGCGGCAUGCUUUACACAUGCAAGUCGAACGGUAACAGGCCGCAAGGUGCUGACGAGUGGCGAACGGGUGAGUAAUGCAUCGGAACGUGCCCAGUCGUGGGGGAUAACUACUCGAAAGAGUAGCUAAUACCGCAUACGAUCUAUGGUUGAAAGCGGGGGACCGUAAGGCCUCGCGCGAUUGGAGCGGCCGAUGUCAGAUUAGGUAGUUGGUGGGGUAAAGGCUCACCAAGCCAACGAUCUGUAGCUGGUCUGAGAGGACGACCAGCCACACUGGAACUGAGACACGGCCCAGACUCCUACGGGAGGCAGCAGUGGGGAAUUUUGGACAAUGGGCGCAAGCCUGAUCCAGCAAUGCCGCGUGCAGGAAGAAGGCCUUCGGGUUGUAAACUGCUUUUGUACGGAACGAAACGGCUCUGGUUAAUACCCGGGGCUAAUGACGGUACCGUAAGAAUAAGCACCGGCUAACUACGUG